rnacentral:misc_RNA from 1 species
AAUACUAAUUAAUUGUCAAGUAACAAUCAUGUGUUUGCAGAUUGUUGGGAAUCUUCCGUUGGAAAUAUAUUAAAUGAAUGGGUUGCAAUAUUGAAUUGGGUAAUUAUUUGAUGUUCUAAAGCAACACAAUUACCAUAUUAAAAGGAAAUAAAUUGUAAUUUGCCCAGCAUUCUCUUUGAAUUUGACACUCUUCCACUUUAAACCAAGCAUUGUCCAAAUCAUCAACUCUUCAAGCAC